rnacentral:lncRNA from 1 species
AAUUUCGUUUUACAGUCCCUGUGGAUACGAUAUCCGAUUGCUGUUUAUACUACGAUUACACCGUGUUAGUUGCGGUAUUUUUGUUGCUAAUAAAAUAGUGAUCAACUUUUUGGCGCCGUUGCCGGGGACUGUUUAGAUUUUGCUUUAAUAUUUCCAAUAGGACUUUAUAGUACUGCUAAGUUUUUUUUUUUAUUGUUUUUACUUUUCUUUUCUGAUCUUUUUGCUGUUUCUGUAGGUUGCAUAUGAACACACGAUCUCACGGGAAUCCUCUCUUUGAGUUAGACCCUGAAAUCAACAAGACCUUGCGCAAUCUAAAGAAGCAGAACGAUCAAGCUGAGACAGAAACGAUGGCUACUCCAGAGCAAAUUCAAAUUCGAGCUCUGCAAGAGCAGUUGAAGAAGCUGCUUGAUGCACAGGAGACGAGAGAGGCUCAGAAACAACCCGC